rnacentral:rRNA from 1 species
AAGGUUUAUUCGGCCCGGGAAAUUGCGGUCCCAGAUUCCUUACGGGAGGGCAGCCAGUAGGGAAUUCUUCCGCAAUGGGCGAAAACCCUGAAGGAGCAACGCCGCUUGAGUGAUGAAGGUUUUUAGGAUCGUAAAAAUUCUGUUGUUAGGGAAGAACAAAUUUGUUAGUAACUGAACAAGUCUUGACGGUACCUAACCAGAAAGCCACGGCUAAUUACGUGCCAGCAGCCGCGGUAAUAAGUAGGUGGCAAGCGUUAUCCGGAAUUAUUGGGCGUAAAGCGCGCGUAGGCGGUUUCUUAAGUCUGAUGUGAAAGUCCACGGCUCAACCGUGGAAGGUCAUUGGAAACUGGGGAACUUGAGUGCAGAAGAGGAGAGUGGAAUUCCAUGUGUAGCGGUGAAAUGCGCAGAGAUAUGGAGGAACACCAGUGGCGAAGGCGGCUCUCUGGUCUGUAACUGACGCUGAUGUGCGAAAGCGUGGGGAUCAAACAGGAUUAGAUACCCUGGUAGUCCACGCCGUAAACGAUGAGUGCUAAGUGUUAGGGGGUUUCCGCCCCUUAGUGCUGCAGCUAACGCAUUAAGCACUCCGCCUGGGGAGUACGACCGCAAGGUUGAAACUCAAAGGAAUUGACGGGGACCCGCACAAGCGGUGGAGCAUGUGGUUUAAUUCGAAGCAACGCGAAGAACCUUACCAAAUCUUGACAUCCUUUGAUCGCUCUAGAGAUAGAGUUUUCCCCUUCGGGGGACAAAGUGACAGGUGGUGCAUGGUUGUCGUCAGCUCGUGUCGUGAGAUGUUGGGUUAAGUCCCGCAACGAGCGCAACCCUUAAGCUUAGUUGCCAUCAUUAAGUUGGGCACUCUAGGUUGACUGCCGGUGACAAACCGGAGGAAGGUGGGGAUGACGUCAAAUCAUCAUGCCCCUUAUGAUUUGGGCUACACACGUGCUACAAUGGAUAAUACAAAGGGCAGCGAAACCGCGAGGUCAAGCAAAUCCCAUAAAAUUAUUCUCAGUUCGGAUUGUAGUCUGCAACUCGACUACAUGAAGCUGGAAUCGCUAGUAAUCGUAGAUCAGCAUGCUACGGUGAAUACGUUCCCGGGUCUUGUACACACCGCCCGUCACACCACGAGAGUUUGUAACACCCGAAGCCGGUGGAGUAACCUUUUAUUAGGAGCUAGCCGUCGA